UCAAUCUUAUGGCCAUAUUCAUGGCAUAUUUUUUUCAAAUGAUCUCAUAUUGUGUACAAGGAUGCAUAAUGGAAUGGAAAACAAUGGUGCUUAAGGAACUUUUCAUUUUCUUUGGACGAAAAAUUCAUUUUCCAUUUUUCGAGUGCCCAAAAUGGGUUUUUUUGUGAAGGACCUAUCAUAUAUAUGUUGCAAAAUUGGACCAAAUCAUUUUUGUAAAAUACUAGGCCAUAUUUAAUAUACAAUUGACCCAAUGGUUGGGUGUCAAAAGCUUUUAUCCACCACUCGUGAAAAUGACAAAUUUUCGUCGAUUCACUUUGAAGGGGGUCAAAUUUGAACUGCAGCUGCAUUAUAGAUUGCUCUUUAUUUUUUCCAAAAAUCAUUUAUACGUACAAAAGUAUCUAGUUUAUCAGAAAUACAUGGUGUGGCAGCGAGACGUCGAGGUUUGAUGGAGGGCGAGGGCCCCAUCUCCAGAGCGCGUAAACUGGCAUGCGAGCCGCGUGGUCACCACCUAAUCAUGGCGGUGCCACAUGUUCUGGGUGGAAUAGGCAUGUCUAGUGGGUUGGACACUCCCUCGAUAGGUGUUAGGAAGAAAAAUACAAUAAAAGAAUCUCACGAGUAGAAAGAAGUAAGCUCAAACAUGAAUUAGCAGUCAAUUGUUUGAUUAGCAGUGGGGGAAAUGCACAAGGACAAUGGGCCUAAAUUUUGUCUCAGGAUGGUCACCUACUAAGAAGACUCUCUUGGCAAAUUUUUAGCUCAAAUGAAUGAUCCUAGGUGGCACUUGCUUUGUAAAGUACCACAAUGUGCAGAAAUAUGAAUGUUGAAGCUGGGAUGAAAUGAAUAAAUGGAUUGAGCUUAAAUUUGGUGGAUGAUGUUCAUUUGGGCAUAUGAAGGAAUUAUUAAAAUUUUAUACCAUUUGGACAUGUUAAGGUGACACUUCCUUUAGAAUGUGCCAAAUGGACAGAAAAUGGUAAUUGAAACUGGGCUCACAUAUAUGAUUAGAUUGAGCUGAAAUUUGGUGGAGCAUGAUAACUUGGAAACAUUAAGGCACUGUAAAAAAAUUCAUAAAAUUUGGAUAAAAAAAUUGUACUUCCUUCACAAUGCUCUCCACUGAACAGAACAUUGGGAAAAACAUUGAGAGAAACUGGAUAAAUUAAAUGAGAUAAAAUUUGGUGGAGGGAGGUUCUAUGAUAAGUUUCAUGCCAUAGUAAUUUUUCAUCAACUAUAAAGCAAUCUAAAAUGUAGUUGCUUCACAAACUAAAAAUAUUACCACAAACAGAGAUUGGACGAUGAGCUCACAUGGAUUAUUAGAUGGGGUUCAAAUUUUCUUGAGAGCUAUGGUUUUCUCAUAUAGAAUAUGUGGCAAAAAUUCAAUUCAUUGGGAUAAUCAUAGCUAGUACUUCCUUCACAAAGUUGUUAGCCGAACACAAAUUUUGGAAAUUUGCUGAGAAAGAUUUACUAGACAAAUGGAGAUGAAAGUUUUCAUGAGGUCAUGAUUUGGAUAGGCAAGAGUGACCAAAAAAUUUGAGGGCAAUAAAAAAAUAGAAAUAGCACUUCCUUCACAAAGUGCCAUUCUCAACAAAAUAGAAAAAUGAAUAUUGCUCAAUUAUUUUUGAACUAUGGAAGGAAUGGUUUUCACAUAUUUGAGGAAUAUAUGAUUCAAAGGAUUUAUGAGAAUUUUUGGAAUAACAGAAUAGUAGGUUGCUUCACAAACUAGGGGGAAAAUGACACAUGGACAUGACACGUACACAAAACUGAUGAUGUUGCGCCUAGUCAUAGCUACGUCCAUCUAUAUUGGUCGUAAUUAGCUACAAAUUAUGCAGCGAACCAAGGCUAUCUGCUUUACGACCAUUUCUUGUAAGGAAAUUAUGAUCGUUUUUUACCAAAUUGGUCGUUAUGGUUUGGUUGGAGCCUCCUGAACAGCUUACGACCAAUUGAUCUCAAAUGGUCAUUGAUUUACGACCAUUUCAGCCAGGGUCACUACGAGAAGGUCGCUAGUUGGCAUAUUUCUUGUAGUGCAUUUUGUUGAAGUUAGAAAAAACAUCUAGAUAUAUGUGCCUACAUAAUAAGAGUGAUGCACAUAUCAUUUUAUAGUCAUUGGAUCUAGCAAUUACAAUAUAUGGACAUGCUUAUAUUAACCAUGGUCAAGUAUAGAUCUAGACAAUUCUCAUGUACCGUGUGAUCUAAAUUUUUGACCCACUCUCUUCAAUUUUAGUAGUGAGGUAUGAAUGCUCCGAAAAAACUUUUAUGCAAAGUGGCAUGUUCGGAAGUAUCCGGUUCGACUGAAGGUAGGAGCAACAAGGUAUCUUCUAGAUAUUUUUGGUAUCUUCCUAAAAAAAUCGGUGACAUGCCAAUCAAAAGAGGCCGCUACUCAUACUUUAGCUCACGACUAUUAUGACCCAAAAUGCCAGUUGGUGUGUUUAUGCCAUAAUACAUGCCAGUCAAAACCAGUGACAUACCAGUUAAAACAGCCGGCUACUCAGCCGUGGAAGCAAACGCCAACCUCGAUCAAUCUACAACGACGGCCUUAAGAGGGUCAGCGACAUGGCCGAAAAACUCUCCCAGCACAACGCCACACAUGAGCAGGCAGUCUCUUAGUACAUUCCAACUCGAUGUCUUCACUUUUGUGUAUUGCAGCAUGCUACACAUUCUCACAAUGGCACAUGCGUGUUGCUGAACUUUUACCUGCUGCCUGCGUGGUCUUCUACAACACCUCAUUGGUCUGAGUUACUGGCCUUCUGUUUGGCGUUUCUGGAACUAUCAUUGUUACUCGACGUUAUGCAUAUCAAGUGUUCGCAAAAUGAGCUCACCAUCCCAAGAUCUAUCAUUCUGAAAUGAUCCUAAAGAAACUACAUAGUUUUUGUGGUCAUCCUGCAUUUGCUUUGGCUCCCAUGUAAUUGCAACAAUGCAUUGGCCACUUUUAUAGCUAACGCAUCCAACCACCUCUAUAUGGACAUGGUUGUGGUUGAUGGUGAGCUAUAGUGCUAUAAAAGUUCUCAUGUAUUGUCUACUCUGAAUUUUAGACCUAUCUCAUUAGUUUGAUUAAUGAAUUAUUGUUCUAACUUAAAGUUACCCGCUAAAUUUUCAAACAAUUGGAAGCCACUAAAGACUUAUUUCGUUGAAGUUCUAAAUCUGGCAUUUUCACUCCGUUCGGUAAAACAAUACACAACAAUCCCUUCUCUAUGAAUAGUUAAGUUCCUCUUACCACAGUGUUGAUCAACCAGUA
rnacentral:lncRNA from 1 species